UCCCAUAGUUUGAGGGUGACUGAGGCCUACUCCAUGACUUGAUUCACUUUUCUACAAUAGGCAGAUAGAUGACACUCAUCUGAUUGUUUGUGUUAAAUUGGCUUCUUUUGGAUGGCCACAACGAUGGAUACAGUAUGAUAGCCUGUUAAUAUGCAACUUUGCAGUUACAAUAUUGACAUAUUUUUGCGUACUUGCUUGUUGAAUAUUGACAUAGUGCUGCUAAGUUUCUUUCGUUCNNNNNNNN
rnacentral:lncRNA from 1 species